rnacentral:rRNA from 1 species
GACGUAGGGCGCGAGCGUUGUCCGGAUUUAUUGGGCGUAAAGAGCUCGUAGGCGGCUUGUCGCGUCGACCGUGAAAACUUGGGGCUCAACCCUAAGCCUGCGGUCGAUACGGGCAGGCUCGAGUUCGGUAGGGGAGACUGGAAUUCCUGGUGUAGCGGUGAAAUGCGCAGAUAUCAGGAGGAACACCGGUGGCGAAGGCGGUUAGCUGGGCAGUUGCUGACACUGAGGAGCGAAAGCGUGGGGAGCGAACAGG